rnacentral:rRNA from 1 species
UGGGGAAUCUUAGACAAUGGGCGCAAGCCUGAUCUAGCCAUGCCGCGUGAGUGAUGAAGGCCUUAGGGUCGUAAAGCUCUUUCGCUGGGGGAAGAUAAUGACUGCUAACCCAAGUCAAAGGAAACCCCGGACUCAACUCCCGUGCCAAGCCAGCCGGCGGUAAUACGGAGGGGGGUUAGCGUUGUUCGGAAUUACUGGGCGUAAAGCGCGCGUAGGCGGAUUAGAAAGUUAGGGGUGAAAUCCCAGGGCUCAACCCUGGAACUGCCUCUAAAACUCCUAGUCUUGAGGUCGAGAGAGGUGAGUGGAAUUCCGAGUGUAGAGGUGAAAUUCGUAGAUAUUCGGAGGAACACCAGUGGCGAAGGCGGCUCACUUGGCUCGAUACUGACGCUGAGGUGCGAAAGCGUGGGGGAGCAAACA